CCAAUAGCGUAUAUUAAAGUUGUUGCAGUUAAAAAGCUCGUAGUUGAAUUUCGGGGUCAGUAGGUCGGUCGUGCCACUGGUAUGCACUGGUCUCACUGAUUCCUCCUUCUUGAAGAACCGUAAUGUCAUUAACUUGGUGUUGCGGGGAAACAGGACUGUUACCUUGAAAAAAUUAGAGUGUUUAAAGCAGGCCAGCGCCUGAAUACAUUAGCAUGGAAUAAUGAAAUAGGACGUUCGAUCCUAUUUUGUUGGUUUCUAGGAUUGACGUAAUGAUUAAUAGGAAUAGUUGGGGGCAUUAGUAUUCAAUUGUCAGAGGUGAAAUUCUUGGAUUUAUUGAAGACUAACUACUGCGAAAGCAAUUGCCAAGAAUGUCUUCAUUAAUCAAGAACGAAAGUCAGGGGAUCGAAGGCGAUUAGAUACCGCCGUAGUCCUGACCGUAAACGAUGCUAACUAGCGAUCUGUCGGCGCCCGGCUAGGGCCCGAUAGGGAGCUUGCG
rnacentral:rRNA from 1 species